CCUACGGGUGGCAGCAGUGGGGAAUAUUGGGCAAUGGGCGCAAGCCUGACCCAGCAACGCCGCGUGAAGGAAGAAGGCUUUCGGGUUGUAAACUUCUUUUCUCAGGGCCGAAGAAAGUGACGGUACCUGAGGAAUAAGCCACGGCUAACUACGUGCCAGCAGCCGCGGUAAUACGGAGGAUGCGAGCGUUAUCCGGAUUUAUUGGGUUUAAAGGGUGCGUAGGCGGGCUUUUAAGUCAGCGGUAAAAAUUCGGGGCUCAACCCCGUCCGGCCGUUGAAACUGGGGGCCUUGAGUGGGCGAGAAGAAGGCGGAAUGCGUGGUGUAGCGGUGAAAUGCAUAGAUAUCACGAAGAACUCCGAUUGCGAAGGCAGCCUACUAAACUGCCACUGACAUUGAUGCUCGAAAGUGUGGGUAUCAAACAGGAUUAGAUACCCUGGUAGUC
rnacentral:rRNA from 1 species